GGGGCUAUAGCUCAGUGUCAGAGCACUUGCCUCUGACGUAUGAGGCAUUGGGUUCAAUCCUUAGCACCA
rnacentral:tRNA from 1 species